ACGAACGCUGGCGGCGUGCCUAAUACAUGCAAGUAGAACGCUGAAGGAGGAGCUUGCUCUUCUGGAUGAGUUGCGAACGGGUGAGUAACGCGUAGGUAACCUGCCUGUUAGCGGGGGAUAACUAUUGGAAACGAUAGCUAAUACCGCAUAGCAGUAGAUGUUGCAUGACAUUUACUUAAAAGGUGCAAUUGCAUCACUACCAGAUGGACCUGCGUUGUAUUAGCUAGUUGGUGGGGUAACGGCUCACCAAGGCGACGAUACAUAGCCGACCUGAGAGGGUGAUCGGCCACACUGGGACUGAGACACGGCCCAGACUGCUACGGGAGGCAGCAGUAGGGAAUCGUCGGCAAUGGACGGAAGUCUGACCGAGCAACGCCGCGUGAGUGAAGAAGGUUUUCGGAUCGUAAAGCUCGGUUGUAAGAGAAGAACGAGUGUGAGAGUGGAAAGUUCACACUGUGACGGUAGCUUAACAGAAAGGGACGGCUAACUACGUG
rnacentral:rRNA from 1 species